GACGAACGCUGGCGGCACGCUUAACACAUGCAAGUCGAACGAGAGAAGAGGAGCUUGCUUUUCUGAUCUAGUGGCGGACGGGUGAGUAACACGUGAGCAAUCUGCCUUUCAGAGGGGGAUACCGAUUGGAAACGAUCGUUAAUACCGCAUAACAUAAUUGAACCGCAUGAUUUGAUUAUCAAAGAUUUAUCGCUGAAAGAUGAGCUCGCGUCUGAUUAGCUAGUUGGUAAGGUAACGGCUUACCAAGGCGACGAUCAGUAGCCGGACUGAGAGGUUGAUCGGCCACAUUGGGACUGAGACACGGCCCAGACUCCUACGGGAGGCAGCAGUGGGGAAUAUUGCACAAUGGAGGAAACUCUGAUGCAGCGAUGCCGCGUGAGGGAAGAAGGUUUUAGGAUUGUAAACCUCUGUCUUCAGGGACGAAAAAUGACG
rnacentral:rRNA from 1 species